rnacentral:rRNA from 1 species
UACGUAGGGUGCAAGCGUUAAUCGGAAUUACUGGGCGUAAAGCGUACGCAGGCGGCUUUGCAAGACAGGUGUGGAAUCCCCGGGCCUAACCUGGGAACUGCAUUUGUGACUGCAUGGCUAGAGUUUGUCAGAGGGGGGUGGAAUUCCACGUGUAGCAGUGAAAUGCGUAGAUAUGUGGAGGAACACCGAUGGCGAAGGCAGCCCCCUGGGAUGUGACUGACGCUCAUGUACGAAAGCGUGGGGAGCGAACAGG